CGAAGGAUCCAAGCGUUAUCCGGAUUUAUUGGGUUUAAAGGGUGCGUAGGCGGACUAUUAAGUCAGUGGUGAAAGCCUGCAGCUUAACUGCAGAAUUGCCAUUGAUACUGAUGGUCUUGAGUACAUUUGAGGUGGGCGGAAUGUGUCAUGUAGUGGUGAAAUACUUAGAUAUGACACAGAACUCCGAUUGCGAAGGCAGCUCACUAAACUGUAACUGACGCUGAGGCACGAAAGCGUGGGGAUCAAACAGGAUUAGAUACCCUGGUAGUCCACGCCCUAAACGAUGAUUACUCGAUGUGUGCGAUACACUGUACGCGUCUAAGCGAAAGCAUUAAGUAAUCCACCUGGGGAGUACGGCCGCAAGGCUG
rnacentral:rRNA from 1 species